UUUAAGUGCGGUUGUAGAUUUCUGUGUCUAACGUUUCAUUGUUCAUUUUAUUUGAAAUUCUUUUAUGAUUAAUAUUUUAUUAUUAUUAGAUGAUAAAACAUGAAUAGUAAUUUAUAGACGCGACUUAAUUUUUUUUUCAUAAACUUUUUAAAUAAGAUGGACGAUCAAAUGUUGGACAUAUAAACACACAAUUUCAUUUAAA
rfam:Oryza sativa Japonica Group DNA, chromosome 2, cultivar: Nipponbare, complete sequence.